GAUGAACGCUGGCGGCGUGCCUAAUACAUGCAAGUCGAGCGAGCGGCGGACGGGUGAGUAAUGUCUGGGAAACUGCCUGAUGGAGGGGGAUAACUACUGGAAACGGUAGCUAAUACCGCAUACCAUACGAUGUGCCCAGAUGGGAUUCGCUAGUGGGUGGGGUAAUGGCUCACCUAGGCGACGAUCCCUAGCUGGUCUGAGAGGAUGACCAGCCACACUGGAACUGAGACACGGUCCAUACUCCUACGGGAGGCAGCAGUGGGGAAUAUUGCACAAGGGGCGCAAGCCUGAUGCAGCCAUGCCGCGUGUGUGAAGAAGGCCUUCGGGUUGUAAAGCACUUUCAGCGAGGAGGCGUUACUCGCAGAAGAAGCACCGGCUAACUCCGUGCCAGCAGCCGCGGUAAUAC
rnacentral:rRNA from 1 species